GGACAAUUUGGAUGAAAUGGAAAAAUUCCUAGAAAAAUACAAUCUCCCGCCGAAACUGAAUCAGGAGGAAUCAGAAAUUAUGAAUAGGCCAAUAAUAACUGAUGAAGUAGAAACAGUAAUAAAAAAGAA